rnacentral:rRNA from 1 species
UACGUAGGUGGCGAGCGUUGUCCGGAUUUACUGGGCGUAAAGCGCGCGCAGGCGGCAGUCUAAGUCCUCUGUGAAAUCACCCGGCUCAACUGGGUGGCUGCGGAGGAGACUGGGCAGCUUGAGGGGCCUAGAGGCCGGUGGAACUCCCGGUGUAGUGGUGAAAUGCGUAGAGAUCGGGAGGAACACCAGUGGCGAAGGCGGCCGGCUGGGGGUGACCUGACGCUGAGGCGCGAAAGCGUGGGGAGCGAACCGG